UACAGAGGUCCCAAGCGUUGUUCGGAUUCACUGGGCGUAAAGGGUGCGUAGGUGGUGAGGUAAGUCGGAUGUGAAAUCUCCGAGCUCAACUCGGAAAUGGCAUUGGAAACUACCUUGCUAGAGGGUUGGAGGGGGGACUGGAAUGCUUGGUGUAGCAGUGAAAUGCGUAGAUAUCAAGCGGAACACCAGUGGCGAAGGCGAGUCCCUGGACAACUCCUGACACUGAGGCACGAAAGCUAGGGGAGCAAACAGG
rnacentral:rRNA from 1 species